rnacentral:rRNA from 1 species
AGUCGAGCGGUAGCACAGGGGAGCUUGCGGUGACGAGCGGCGGACGGGUGAGUAAUGUCUGGGAAACUGCCUGAUGGAGGGGGAUAACUACUGGAAAAAUACCGCAUAACGUCGCAAGACCAAAGAGGGGGAACCUUCGGGCCUCUUAUGUGCCCAGAUGGGCAUUAGCUAGUAGGUGGGGUAAUGGCUCACCUAGGCGACGAUCCCUAGCUGGUCUGAUGAGGAUGACCAGCCACACUGGAACUGAGACACGGGUACGGGAGGCAGCAGUGGGGAAUAUUGCACAAUGGGCGCAAGCCUGAUGCAGCCAUGCCGCGUAAGAAGGGCCUUCGGGUUGUAAAGCAUCUUUCAGCGAGGAGGAAGGUGGUGAACUUAAUACGUCUCAUCAAUUGACGUUACUCGCAGAAGAAGCACCGGCUAACUCCGUGCCAGACAGCCGCGGUAAUACGGAGGGUGCAAGCGUUAAUCGGAAUUACUGGGCCGUAAAGCGCACGCAGGCGGUUUGUUAAGUCAGAUGUGAUAAUCCCCGGGCUCAACCUGGGAACUGCAUUUGAAACUGGCAAGCUAGAGUCUCGUAGAGGGGGGUAGAAUUCCAGGUGUAGCGGUGAAAUGCGUAGAGAUCUGGAGGAAUACCGGUGGCGAAGGCGGCCCCCUGGACAAGACUGACGCUCAGGUGCGAAAGCGUGGGAGCAAACAGGAUUAGAUACCCUGGAGUCCACGCUGUAAACGAUGUCGAUUUGGAGUUGUGCCCUUGAGGCGUGGCUUCGGAGCUAACGCGUUAAAUCGACCGCCUGGGGAGUACGCCGCAAGGUUAAAACUCAAAUGAAUUGACGGGCCCGCACAAGCGGUGGAGCAUGUGGUUUAAUUCGAUGAACGCGAAGAACCUUACCUACUCUUGACAUCCAGAGAAUUUCCAGAGAUGGAUUGGUGCCUUCGGGAACUUGAGACAGGUGCUGCAUGGCUGUCGUCAGCUCGUGUUGUGAAAUGUUGGGUAAGUCCCGCAACUUUGUUGCCAGCGGUUCGGGGAACUCAAAGGAGACUGCCAUGAUAAACUGGAACGUCAAGUCAUCAUGCCCUUACGAGUAGGGCUACACACGUGUACAGCGACCUCUGCGAGAGCAAGCGGACCUCAUAGAAGUACGUCGUAGUCCGGAUUGGAGUCUGCAACUCCGACUCCAUGAAGUCGGAAUCGCUAGUAAUCGUAAGAUCAGAAUGCUACGGUGAAUACGUUCGCCGGGCCUUGUACACACCGCCCGUCACACCAUGGG